AUUCUUUUCAAAGUGAAAUAGAUGUCGUUUUAAUACCCAAGCAAUUAUGUAAAUGAAAAAAUAUUCAAGAAGUUAAAACUUUUAAGAAACGUGACUACUAUAUAUUUAUAGGAAACGCUGGCCUUUUCUACUACAAGACCUAGUGAUUUAAAAUAAAUAAAUAAAUGCUAUUGCUCCUUAGCAUAUCGCAGAGAAUAAACCCAUAGAGGAAUUUGGUUUUAAAAAAUUUGGUUCAUGAGGUUAUAUUGUUAUUUAUCAAAUAAUAGGAUGAAAGGUUUGAAGAGUAAUCAGACUGGCCAGGAGUUUAUAAUAAAACAACAAAUAAAUUGCUUAUCCGGAUAUGUUGUUUAUCUGCUAGAGUGACCAUGUGGGAAGCAAUAUGUAGGUCCUACUAUUAGAAAAUUUGAGACACAUAUUUCGGAACAUCAGAAUAAUAUUAGAAAACAUUGAAAUCGACACACUCUUCCACUACAUUGACCACUUGUGUUCGGAUUUUAGACCCCAGAAUGUCAUAUUUCUGGAUAUAAACCAUGUUCCACCCCACUGGAGAGAUGGUGCCAGAGUAAAAACACUAAGUCAAAAGAGGUCUAUUGGAUCUAUAUGCUGGGUAAAUUGGAACCAGAGGGUUUAAAUUCGGAUACAGAUUUAGAUAGUUAAUUAUCCCAAAAAAGUUUAUAAAAAAAAAAAGUUGUGCAACAUCUAAAAUAUGCAAGGCUGUGUUUAUUGUGAAAUUGACUAUUUCUGGCACUGCUAUUAAUUAACAAUCACGCUGAUUACAAUUUGAGCAAUCAGCAUAACUGAUUGUGGCACAGUGUCCGUAGUUUGAACAUAAGAUAUGCUGUCCUGAAUCCUGUAUAGUCAACAACAUAAGCUACAAAUCAUUUAAAUAUAUCCAUACAAAAUAUUAGGGCUGUCAUUUUAAUAGUUUACGUAAAUCUUCUUUCAAGAUUUGAAAAUUCUGUUGCUGUCAAUCGUGGUUGCUUUCAGUUUAGUGAUUUUUUUAUAAGUAUAAUGAUUUUCAUGCUUUGUUGCAUUUUUAUUUGUUAAAAAAAGAAAAAAAAUUGUAAAGUCAAAAGAAAGUUUAUUCUCUCACCAUGCCAAUAUCCGUCCUGUCGCCGCACCUCCUUGGCUGAGAUCAUCAAUAUUGAGUUUAACUCUGAACAGAAGGAUGUUGUCAGAGAGUUCAGAAACUAUAACCACUCCAGUAAGAUGAAGCAGUACAGUGCUAUAGUGUCCCUUUAAAUUUAAUGUCUUAAUGGAACACUAUAAUGUCAGCAAUAAAAACAUGUAUUCCUAAACCCAAUGUUCA